GGCCGAUUGGCUCAAUGGUAGAGCGUCCGCCUCCUACGAUUGGAUCUAGCGGAAGGUUGUGGGUUCGAGUCCCAUGUUGGUCG